GGAAGAAAAAAUCAGUACAACCCGUCUCUAGGAAGGAGUGAUUGGUCUGAUCUUCAGUGGUGUGAGAAGACCUAUUUUGAUCCAAACCAGGGUCUUAGGCUGGGUUAUUUCCAACCCAGGUCAAACAGUUGAUCGUAAGAUGUUUUUUUGGCUUAUGUGCCAUCUUGUGGAUGUGUGGCUGAUUUCUGCCUCAGAUGUGGGCCACUGUCCUGACCCCUUGCUGGUAACUGAUGAAUUCAGUUCCUUGGAGCCUGUGAACGUGAAUGACACUUUCAUGUUUAAAUGCAAUGAGCAUUGCAUCCUCAAGGGCAGCAAUUGGAGCCAGUGCCGAGAAAACCACAUCUGGGUGACUCACUCUCCUGUCUGCAAAAGCAGAAGUUGUGGUAUUCCACCCUAUUUAGACUUUGCUUAUCCAAUAAAUGAGUUGAAUGAGACAACGUUUGAAACUGGAACUACUCUGAGAUACAAAUGUCGUCCUGGCUAUACGAUGAGUUCAAAAAGUUACUUUCUUAUCUGCAAGGCAACAGGCAAUUGGAAUUACAGAGAGUUUUGUGUCAAAAAACGAUGUGGAAACCCAGGAGAAUUACUUAAUGGGCAAGUGAUAGUUAAGACAGAUUACUCUUUUGGAUCAGAAAUAGAAUUCAGCUGUUCAGAAGGGUAUAUCUUAAUUGGCUCAGCCAACAGUUAUUGUGAGAUACAAGAUAAAGGAGUUGGCUGGAGUGAUCCUCUCCCACAAUGUUUAAUUGCCAAGUGUAAACCUCCUCCAACCAUUAGUAAUGGGAGACACAAUGGUGGAGAUGAAGACUUCUACACAUUUGGCUCUUCUGUCACCUACAGCUGUGACCCUGACUUCUCAAUGUUAGGCAAAGCCUCCAUUUCUUGCAGAGUGCAAAAUAAGACAAUAGGUGUCUGGAGUCCAAGUCCUCCUUCUUGUAAAAAAGUCAUUUGUGUUCAACCAGUAGUUAAAGAUGGAAAAAUAACCUCUGGGUUUGGACCCAUCUAUACUUAUCAACAGUCUAUUGUAUAUGCCUGUAAUAAAGGUUUUCGGCUUGAAGGCAGUAAUGUAAUCCGUUGUGAAGCUGAUAAUAGCUGGAGUCCUCCUCCUCCCACUUGUGAACUCAAUGGCUGUGUUGGCUUACCACACAUCCCUCAUGCCUCGUGGGGAAGAUAUGGCUACCAGACACAAACAAAACAUGAAGUGUAUGAUAUUGGGACUGUAUUGAGCUACAACUGCCAUUUUGGCUAUAAGCCAGAGGCAGAUGGACCUAGAACUGUGACUUGUCAGAGCAAUUUGAAGUGGAGCCCAUACAUAGAAUGUAAGGAGGUAUGUUGCCCAGUACCAAACCUGAAUAAUGAUGGAAGCAUCACUCUACGGAGAAGACUUAGCAAUAGUACUCACUGUAUCUAUUUCAGUGGAGAUGAGAUUUCAUAUGAAUGUCAUAAUAAAUAUAGGCUUGAUGCUACAUGCACAAAAUAUGGCACCUGGAAUCCUAGAACACCAGAAUGCAGCCCAGAUUGUGAAUCCCCUCCUGUCAUUGCACAUGGACGACAUAAAAUAGUCUCUAAAGGCUCGUGGUAUCAACAUGAGGAAGUUGAAUAUGAAUGCGAUGAAGGGUACAUCCUGGAUGGAGCAAAAAGACUCUCCUGCACUUCUUCAGGCUGGUCACCUGCAGUCCCUCAGUGUAAAGCACGGUGUGUGAAACCAGAGAUAGAAUAUGGAAAGUUAUCUGUGGAGAAGGUUAGAUAUGUUGAACCUGAAAGAAUUACUAUCCAGUGCGAGUCUGGCUAUAGUUUGGUUGGUUCCGAAAAUAUCACUUGCUCAGAGGACAGAACCUGGUACCCGGAGGCGCCCAAGUGUGAGUGGGAGUAUCCUGAAGGCUGUGAGCAAGUAGUCACAGGCAGGAAACUCUUGCAGUGCCUCCCACGGCCAGAGGAGGUGAAAUUGGCCCUGGAAGUGUACAAGCUGUCCCUGGAGAUUGAACUCCUUCAUACAGAAAAACUAAAGAAAUCCUCUGAGGAAGAAUUUCUUUAAAGAGA
rnacentral:lncRNA from 1 species